UACGUAGGGGGCAAGCGUUGUCCGGAAUCAUUGGGCGUAAAGCGCGUGUAGGCGGCCAGAUAAGUCCGUUCUGAAAGCCCGGGGCUCAACCCCGGGAGGCGGAUGGAUACUGUUUGGCUCGAGUCCGGAAGAGGCGAGUGGAAUUCCCGGUGUAGCGGUGAAAUGCGCAGAUAUCGGGAGGAACACCAAUGGCGAAGGCAGCUCGCUGGGACGUUACUGACGCUGAGACGCGAAAGCGUGGGGAGCAAACAGG
rnacentral:rRNA from 1 species